CCUGGAAAUCACUGUUCAAAUGACAGCCACUAUACAUGGCAUAGGCAGCAAUGUAAAUACUGCCUUGUCUGUAGUCUUUUUCCCCAGAACCACAUUGAGCUACAGAGGUGGUUUCCUCGAGUUUCCCUUUAAUAUACAUUUAAAAGAAAGUUGUGAAUUGCAUGGGAAAUUAUUAACACAAGUUAUAGCCAAUUUUCAAUGUUUUAUUCAAUGGUAUAGUUUCCAGAAAAAAUAAAAAAGUUAAGUUUCAAACAAUAUGCAAAAUCCAUACAUUUUUUUAGAGUAAAACUUAUCUAAAUCAUGGGAUGUCUACACUGUUCAAGAGCAUGGCUUAAAAUAAAUCCCAUUUUAUCCCACAGGCUCUAAGCGUAGAUGAACAUACAAAAAGAAAGGUUUGGGCAUCAUAUCAUCUAAAUGAAGUUGGUAUGGUGCCAGGAGGUACCCAGGCUCAUUUUACUUCAAGGGGUUCCCAAAGUUGCCUCUAGUGUCAAUCUCAGCUGCCCCCUAGGUGGCAUCAGGCUUCUAAAAUUUCAGUUUCAGCAAGCGGUGGGUGGGGGCACCACUGAUUGCCUGAGAGCUUCUCAGCCAAUCAAUGACUCCCCAUUCACAAAACUGGCUUAGAAAAAGUAUGUUUCGUUCCAAGUAAAUAAGGAGUCACUGACACUUAAAGGUUUAGCCCCUGGAGGUAAGAGUGAGCCCGGGAGCCUCCUGGCACCAUAACUACAUUUAGAUGAACUUGUUU